rnacentral:lncRNA from 1 species
CACAGUCACAGGGUGGCUGCCUCUUCUGUGCGCUUUCUCCUCGAACCCAGACCAUCUCCCACCCUCAUCACAGAUUUUAGAUCCUGACCACCCCUCUGGCCCCAGGUCCCAAAACCCACCUGGUCCUGAAGACCGCCUGUGUGUCGUCUGUCUGCAGCCUCUCCUUGAAAUGUUUCACUAGCACCCAGAGAAAGCUGACCUGGCUGCAGGGGCCCCGGGCAGGCUCACCGGAACAAGAAUUCCUUGGUCCAGCGAGCUCGAGGCUUCCUCUCCUGGUUAGAGGCCCUGAGAUGAAAUUACCCUGAAUGCAA